GGGCCCGCACAAGCGGAGGAACAUGUGGUUUAAUUCGAUGAUACGCGAGGAACCUUACCCGGGAAUGAACGCAGAGAGACGUACGCUAAAAGGCGUAUUCUAGCAAUAGUUGUCUGCGAGGUGCUGCAUGGUUGUCGUCAGCUCGUGCCGUGAGGUGUCGGGUUAAGUCCCAUAACGAGCGCAACCCCUGUUGACAGUUACCAUCAAGUAAAGUUGGGGACUCUGUCAAGACUGCCGCCGUAAGGUGCGAGGAAGGUGGGGAUGACGUCAAAUCAGCACGGCCCUUACAUCCGGGGCUACACACGUGUUACAAUGGACGGUACAGAUGGUAGCUACUUGGCGACAAGAUGCUAAUCUACAAAGCCGUUCCCAGUUCGGAUUGGAGUCUGCAACUCGACUCCAUGAAGCCGGAUUCGCUAGUAAUCGCGCAUCAGCACGGCGCGGUGAAUACG
rnacentral:rRNA from 1 species